UCCCCUGCAUUGGGAGCAAGGAGUCUUAACCACCAGACUGCCAGUGAAGUUCCAGCUACCCUCUGGGGGCAGAGGGGAGGAGAGAGUGACGCUCUGAUCGGGAAUUUCAAGCAGAUAUAUGCAAAUGGCCAGCGGGCUCUUCGGAGGAAGUUCUGGGAGGAGAGUGCUGUGGGCAGCUCAGCGCCGAUAACCCGCAAAGCAGAAGACCCUACUUUGGCGUAUUUCAGCUGCAUCUCUGGCCUCUGACACAGAUGCACCUCUGGAAAGUGCAGCAUUCCCUGGGGAAGUUUUGCCUGAGUUCUGGAGUUCCAGUAACUUCCACUUGUAAUUAAUGAAUUGUCAAUUGAUCACCGGUUGGACGUUCACUUACACGUGUGAGUGUGAGGACACUCGCCUCUCCGUCAGGAAGUCAACCAUCUAUUGAUGAGUCUGGUGGCUUUUUGCCUGACCCUUUACCAUAUCCUGCGGUGUUAACCCUGACCAACUCAAGGUGUAAACAAAUCUAUACGACACCAUAAAGCAUCGGCAGUAAACUGUAGAUUGUAUUUCUCUUUCUGGGGAGUGAGGAAAGAUGAGUUGGACAUGGGAAUAAAUGUUCCUUUUAAUUCACAUAAAAUUUAUUUUUUAUUUAUUUUAACCAAGUUUAACUAUGCAUCGGGUACAUGUAAUUUACUCACUAAAUUUUAUUUUUUUUUGUUCAUAUAUAACUGGUUGUUUGUUUAUUUUAACCAAGUUUAAGUUUACAUCAGGUGCAUGCUCUGUCACUCAGUCGUGUCCAACUCUUUGCGACUGCAUGGACUGUAGCCCACCUGGUUCCUCUGUCCAUGGGAUUCUCCAGGCAAGAAUACUGGAAUGGGCUGCCAUUUCCUCCUCCAGAAUACAUCAGAUACAUGUGUUUUACUCACUAAGUUUUAUUUUUUAUUCACGUAUCAUUGAUUUCAAAUUAUUUUAACUGAGUUUAAGUAUACAUUUGGUAUACGUGUUUUACUCACAAGUACUACUGUGAUACCAACAAAGGUCCAUGUAGUCAAA